AAAAUCAGACCAAAGCAAGACCAAAGUCUAGCCAGCAGUGGGAAGUGUCAGGCUUCGGGGGCUCAUAUCUCCUAUGCUCCAAAGAGCUUGGAGGGCUCGGCCCAGAACAUGGAGGGAGUCCCCAGGCUCAGGCCAGCUCCGUGCCCCAGCUGCUGCUGUCCUGGGGAAUCACCCAUCGUAGUGGCAUCUCCGAGAAGACUGCCAUUUCUGUAAUCUUAACCUUCUCUUGUUUCCUCUCCAUGCACGUAGAGUGUCAAGGGUGCUUUCCUAAUAAAGGGAGAGCUAAGGUGUCUUCACCCCUGAAAUGUCUUCUGAGAAUCUGUUGUGUACCAGUCACUGUGGUGGCAAAUACAUUAAGUAGUGAGAGAAAA
rnacentral:lncRNA from 1 species